CCUACGGGGGGCAGCAGUGGGGAAUAUUGCACAAUGGGGGAAACCCUGAUGCAGCGACGCCGCGUGAGUGAAGAAGGAUUUCGGUACGUAAAGCUCUAUCAGCAGGGAAGAAAAGGACGGUACCUGACUAAGAAGCCCCGGCUAACUACGUGCCAGCAGCCGCGGUAAUACGUAGGGGGCAAGCGUUAUCCGGAUUUACUGGGGGUAAAGGGAGCGUAGCCGGCAGCGCAAGUCUGGAGUGAACUCCCAUGGCUUAACCAUGGAACUGCUUUGGAAACUGUGCAGCUAGAGUGCAGGAGAGGUCAGCUGCAUUCCUAGUGUAGCGGUGAAAUGCGUAGAUAUUAGGAGGAACACCAGUGGCGAAGGCGGCUUACUGGACUGUACCUGCCGUUGAGGCUCGACAGCGUGGGGAGCACACAGGAUUAGAUACCCGGGUAGUC
rnacentral:rRNA from 1 species